GGAUGGGGGACCUGAUCCAGCCAUGCCGCGUGAGUGAAGAAGGCCUUCGGGUUGUAAAGCUCUUUCGGCCGGGAAAAAAUUGCACGGAUGAACAGUCUGUGUAGACGAUGGUACCGGACUAAGAAGCACCGGCUAACUACGUGCCAGCAGCCGCGGUAAUACGUAGGGUGCGAGCGUUAAUCGGAAUUACUGGGCGUAAAGCGUGCGCAGGCGGUUUUGUAAGACAGGCGUGAAAUCCCCGGGCUCAACCUGGGAACUGCGCUUGUGACUGCAAGACUCGAGUACGGCAGAGGGGGGUGGAAUUCCACGUGUAGCAGUGAAAUGCGUAGAGAUGUGGAGGAACACCAAUGGCGAAGGCAGCCCCCUGGGUCGAUACUGACGCUCAUGCACGAAAGCGUGGGGAGCAAACAGGAUUAGAUACCCUGGUAGUCCACGCCCUAAACGAUGUCAACUAGGUGUUGGGUGGGUAAAACCAUUUAGUACCGGAGCUAACGCGUGAAGUUGACCGCCUGGGGAGUACGGCCGCAAGGUUAAAACUCAAAGGAAUGGACGGA
rnacentral:rRNA from 1 species